rnacentral:rRNA from 1 species
UACGUAGGGACCGAGCGUUGUCCGGAAUCAUUGGGCGUAAAGAGCGUGUAGGCGGCUUUACAGGUCCGUUGUGAAAACUCGAGGCUCAACCUCGAGACGCCGGUGGAAACCGUAAGGCUAGAGUCCGGAAGAGGAGAGUGGAAUUCCUGGUGUAGCGGUGAAAUGCGCAGAUAUCAGGAGGAACACCAAUGGCGAAGGCAGCUCGCUGGAACGGAACUGACGCUGAGGCGCGAAAGCGUGGGGAGCGAACAGG